rnacentral:rRNA from 1 species
CAGCACCUCAAGUGGUCAGGAUGAUUAUUGGGCCUAAAGCAUCCGUAGCCGGCGCUGUAAGUUUUCGGUUAAAUCUGUACGCUCAACGUAUGGGCUGCCGGGAAUACUACAAAGCUAGGGAGUGGGAGAGGUAGACGGUACUCGGUAGGAAGGGGUAAAAUCCUUUGAUCUAUUGAUGACCACCUGUGGCGAAGGCGGUCUACCAGAACACGUCCGACGGUGAGGGAUGAAAGCUGGGGGAACAAACCGGAUUAGAUACCCGAGUAGUCC